CAGUCGCCGCGGUAAUACGAAGGGUGCAAGCGUUAAUCGGAAUUACUGGGCGUAAAGCGUGCGUAGGUGGUGAGUUAAGUCCGUUGUGAAAGCCCUGGGCUCAACCUGGGAAUUGCAGUGGAUACUGGGUCACUAGAGUGUGGUAGAGGAUAGUGGAAUUUCCGGUGUAGCAGUGAAAUGCGUAGAGAUCGGAAGGAACAUCUGUGGCGAAGGCGACUAUCUGGGCCAACACUGACACUGAGGCACGAGAGCGUGGGGAGCAAACAGGAUUAGAGACCCGGGUAGUCCCUGUCUCUUAUAU
rnacentral:rRNA from 1 species